rnacentral:rRNA from 1 species
GACAGAGGCCUCAAGCGUUAGGCGGAAUCACUGGGCUUAAAGCGUGUGUAGGCGGAUGGUUAAGUGCCUUGUGAAAUCCCACGGCUCAACCGUGGAACUGCUGGGCAUACUGGUCAUCUUGAGCCAUCUAGGGGCGACUGGAACAGACGGUGGAGCGGUGAAAUGCGUAGAUAUCGUCUGGAACGCCAAAGGUGAAAACAGGUCGCUGGGGAUGUGCUGACGCUGAGACACGAAAGCCAGGGGAGCAAACGGG